rnacentral:lncRNA from 1 species
UUAAUUCAACUUCUACAGUUUAAUCAAAAUGUGUGGCAAAGCAGUUAUUCAAGUCUGGUUGCUUGUACAAGUUUUUACAAAUGCCCAAUUUUUACCUGAGGAUGAAGUUGUGUUUCCCAAACGCCACGAUAAUUCACGUUUAGAAAAUGACCUAGGCACAUCAAAUCAGAUAUACAGUAUUGAAAAAUCUAUCAAAGAGGUAUCAUGUAACAGUGAACCUU